CCUACGGGAGGCAGCAGUGGGGAAUAUUGCACAAUGGGGGAAACCCUGAUGCAGCGACGCCGCGUGAGUGAAGAAGUAAUUCGUUAUGUAAAGCUCUAUCCGCAGGGAAGAAAAUGACGGUACCUGCGUACGAAGCCCCGGCUACCUACGUGCCAGCAGCCGCGGUGAUGCGUAGGGGGACAGCGUUAUCCGGAUGUACUGGGUGUAAAGGGAGCGUAGUCGGGAGUGCAAGUCUGGAGGGAACGGGGGGGGCUCAACCACCGGACUGCGCGGGAAACUGGACGGCUGGAGUGCAGGAGAGGUAAGUGGAAUUCCUAGUGUAGCGGUGAAAUGCGUAGAUAUUAGGAGGAACACCAGUGGCGAAGGCGGCUUACUGGACUGUAACUGACGUUGAGGCUCGAAAGCGUGGGGAGCAAACAGGAUUAGAUACCCUGGUAGUC
rnacentral:rRNA from 1 species